AACUGACUGCUUAUUGCACCACAUGUGUUUUUCUUUGAAACAAACUUGCUUUGGCGGUGGGCCCAGCCUGCCGCCAGAGGUCUAAACUUACAACCAAUUUUUUAUUAACUUGUCACACCAGAUUAUUACUAAAUAGUCAAAACUUUCAACAACGGAUCUCUUGGUUCUCGCAUCAAUAAAAAACCCACCGAAAUGCAAUACGUAAUAUGAAUUGCAAAUAUUCGUGAAUCAUCAAAUCUUUGAACGCACUUUGCCCCCUCUGGUAUUCCGAAGGGCAUGCCUGUUUGACCGUCUUUUCUCCCUCAAACCGCUGGGUUUGGGGUUGAGCAAUACAACUUGGGUUUGCUUGAAAAACGGUAGGGGUAAGGCGGAAUCGCUUUGACAAUGGCUUAGGUCUAACCAAAAACAUUGCUUGCGGCGGUAACGUCUACCACGUAUAUCUUCAAACUUUGACCUCAAAUCAGGUAGGACUACCCGCUGAACUUAACCAUAUCAUAAGCGGAAGAAA
rnacentral:rRNA from 1 species